GCGUAACGCGUAUGCAACCUACCCAUUACAGGGGGAUAACACUGAGAAAUCGGUACUAAUACCCCAUAACAUCCAGGGAGGCAUCUUCUUGGGUUGAAAACUCCGGUGGUAAUGGAUGGGCAUGCGUUGUAUUAGUUAGUUGGUGGGGUAACGGCUCACCAAGACGACGAUACAUAGGGGGACUGAGAGGUUAACCCCCCACAUUGGUACUGAGACACGGACCAAACUCCUACGGGAGGCAGCAGUGAGGAAUAUUGGUCAAUGGACGCAAGUCUGAACCAGCCAUGCCGCGUGCAGGAAGACGGCUCUAUGAGUUGUAAACUGCUUUUGUACGAGGGUAAACGCAGAUACGUGUAUCUGUCUGAAAGUAUCGUACGAAUAAGGAUCGGCUAACUCCGUGCCAGCAGCCGCGGUAAUACGGAGGAUUCAAGCGUUAUCCGGAUUUAUUGGGUUUAAAGGGUGCGUAGGCGGUCGGAUAAGUUAGAGGUGAAAUCCCGGGGCUCAACUUCGGAAUUGCCUCUGAUACUGUUCGGCUAGAGAGUAGUUGCGGUAGGCGGAAUGUAUGGUGUAGCGGUGAAAUGCUUAGAGAUCAUACAGAACACCGAUUGCGAAGGCAGCUUACCAAGCUACUUCUGACGUUGAGGCACGAAAGCGUGGGGAGCAAACAGGAUUAGAUACCCUGGUAGUCCACGCAGUAAACGAUGAUAACUCGUUGUCGGCGA
rnacentral:rRNA from 1 species